rnacentral:rRNA from 1 species
UGAUCCUGCCAGAGGCGACCGCUAUUGGAGUUCGAUUAAGCCAUGCGAGUAGAAAGAAAUUAGAUUCUUUGCAUACUGCUCAGUAACACGUGGAUAACCUGCCCUACACUGGGGGAUAAUCUCGGGAAACUGAGCAUAAUACCCCAUAGACCACUACGCCUGGAACGGUGAGUGGUUGAAAGCUUCGGCGGUGUAGGAUGGGUCUGCGGCGUAUCAGGUUGUAGGGGGUGUAAUGGACCUCCUAGCCAUCGACGCGUACGGGUUGUGGGAGCAAUAGCCCGGAGACGGAUUCUGAGACACGAAUCCGGACCCUACGGGGUGCAGCAGGCGCGAAAACUUCACACUGCAGGAAACUGUGAUGAGGGAACUCCAAGUGACUGCACAAUGUGUAGCCUUUUCUUGAAUUUUAAUAGUUCUUGGAAUAAGGGCUGGGAAAGACCGGUGCCAGCCGCCGCGGUAAUACCGGCAGCUCGAGUGGUCGUCGCUUUUAUUGGGCCUAAAACGUCCGUAGCCGGUCUGAUACAUUCGUGGGUAAAUCAACCAGCUUAACUGGUUGAAUUCUGCGAGGACGGUCAGACUUGGGACCGGGAGAGGUGUGGGGUACGCUCAGGGUAGGGGUAGAAUCCUGUCAUCCUGAGCGGACCACCUGUUGCGAAGGCGCCACACUAGAACGGAUCCGACGGUCAGGGACGAAGCCUAGGGGCACGAACCGGAUUAGAUACCCGGGUAGUCCUAGGUGUAAACGCUGUGGACUUGAUGUUGGGGGUGCUCCGAGCACUCUCAGUGUCGAAGCGAAGGUGAUAAGUCCACUGCCUGGGAAGUACGGUCGCAAGGCUGAAACUUAAAGGAAUUGGCGGGGGAGCACCGCAACCUGAGGAUUGUGCGGUUUAAUUGGAUUCAACGCCGGAAAACUCACCAUAGCCGACGGACAAAUGAAGGUCAGUGUAAUGAACUUACCGGAUUGUUCGAGAGGUAGUGCAUGGCCGCCGUCAGUUCGUACCGCAAGGCGUUCUGUUAAGUCAGAUAACGAACGAGACCCUCAUCUCUAUUUGCUAACUGGAUCUCCGGAUUCAGUGCACUAUAGGGAGACCGCUGGCGCUAAGUCAGAGGAAGGGGAGGGCAACGGUAGGUCAGUAUGCUCCGAAUGCUAUGGGCUACACGCGCAAUACAAAGGACAGGACAAUGGGCUGCUGCUCCGAAAGGAAUGAUAGCUAUCCCGAAACCUGUUCGUAGUUCGGAUUGAGGGCUGUAACUCGCCCUCAUGAAGCUGGAUUAGGUAGUAAUCGCGUCUCAAAAAGGCGCGGUGAAUAUGCCCCUGCUCCUUGCACUCACCGCC